GAGUCUUUUGCAGGACAAUGGACAUAUGCAACAUAUGCACAAUCCAGCCUUCAUAGAGACUGAGUAAGGUCGCCAUGUCCUUGAAGGACACGAAAGGAGAAGAACACGCUCAGAAGCAGACACUUCAGGAUGCAAAGGCAGACAAGAAAACCGCAGCGAGACGCAUGAAGAGGGAAAACUAACUAAAAUUAACUGAAAUAUUAAAAUGCGUGCGUAAAAAGGAUUUAACCAAUCAUGUAUCAGCUUGAGGCGUGAACAAUAGAGAAUAGUAUAAAAAUGGCUUGCUUUUUGUAAUAAAUUGGCUUCACUUGAUCAUACUGAUCAUGGCGCGAUGUCCCCUUACUGAUCCUCCGCACAUUUUGGUGCCCGAACGAGGGACCCGGAGACGGCUAUUUCACUGUGGUGAGAGGUACAGUGACAGCCUUCGGGAGGUGGAGAAGCCGGUCGAAAGUAUCCUCACUGCCCCGGCAAGAAGAAAAGGUGAAUAAAGGAGCUCCAAAUUGAAGAAGAAGUGAUCUCGCCCUGAUCAGCUGCUAGGUACCUCAUCCCGGGCAGACGAGCGCCGAUCACUGGACAGGACGCAACAACAGGCCUUGGAACAUAUAGCCUCAAAGGUUGCCACAGCACAUGCACAUCACCUGAUGGCAGGUGUCCCCGUUCAACUGAUGAUCAUCAAACGCAGCAAGGAGGGUGACCAGUAUGCCAAACAUCCUUUUGCAUUAAUUUGUCAAUGGACGGAGACUCGGGCUAAUCCUUUAACCAUUCUGGAGUGGGUAUUUUUACCUGUGCGACAGCCUAGAACCAUUACCACUCACCUAGAACUAUUUGCUCAAUUAAUCGUGAAAGGCAGAGGGAGGAUACUAGAAAUUUGGGGACAGGAACCGUACGCAAUUGCAGUACCUCUAGCCAAUGGGUAUUUAGAAUGAGGAAUUAGGCAUUCUGUUCCUUUACAAACAGCCCUUACUGAUUACGGUGGAAAAGUUCACAAUACCUAUCUGUGGCAUCGUGUGUUGUCCUUGUUAGAGCAGCAGCGGCUGGAGGACAGACCAUGGAGAUACGAGUCUCCAGUACUAGGACUAACAAUUUUUACAGACGCAGGCAAACGGUCUAAAAGGGCUGCUUGUACGUGGCAGCAAAAGGGUUCAUGGAAUCAGUAUAUAAUUCCUGGGGAGAUAGGAGAUACAUUGCAAACCUUGGAGUUGAAGGCAGUAAUUUGGGCCUUUGAGAAUUGGAACCAUCAGGUUGUUAACAUUGUUUCUGAUUCACUUCAGGUGGUUGGCUGUGUACAACGCCUCAAAAGGGCAGUAGUUAAGGAAGUUAAUAACAAACAUUUGUAUUCACUUUUAAGCCGACUACUGAGAAAUCUGAACCGACGCCAACAGGAGUAUUUCAUUACUCACGUUCGCAGUCAUCAAAAUCUCCCUGGUCUGUCUGAAGGUAAUGCUCAAGCUGAUCGGUUGGUAGCUGCUGUCUGGCCAAUGCCAACCUCUGAUAAAUUUCAACAAGCAAAAAAUUCUCAUGCUUUUUUACAUCAAUCUGCAAAGAUGUUGGCUAAACAAUUUGGUAUCCCUCUUACUGAUGCCACUGGCAUUGUAUGAUCCUCUCCAGAUUGUCAAAGGGAUGGCAUUGGCUUAGGCACUGGUGUUAACCCAAGAGGUACCCAACCUUUGCAAUUAUGGCAAAUGGAUGUAACACACGAAGCAGAAUUUGGCCAGAAGAAGUUUGUACAUGUUUGCAUUGAUACUCUUGUGUUAUAUGGGCUACCCCUUCAACAGGUGAGACAGCACGUCACGUUGAGAAACAUUUGAACAAUUGCUUUGCAGUGUUGGGAGUCCCUUUAGCCAUCAAGAUGGAUAAUGGCCCUGCUUAUUGAUCUUUAAAGUUUCAAUGUUUCUGUAAUUUAUGCGGUAUUCAACAUGAUACCGGUAUUCCACACAACUCUACAGGUCAGGGAAUUAUUGAGCGAGCCCAUCAGCCGUUCGAGGGCAUGCUGCAAAAAUAAAAAGGGGGAAUGGUAGGGGUAUCCCCGGAAGAAUAGACAGCUAAGGCUAUCUUUGUGCUUAAUUAUCUCAGAACAACAGGAGAUAGGGAUGAACCUCUUCCCAUUCUUGUGCAUCAUGCCCUCAUGCAUAGGCCAAGUGAGGAAUUACCUGACAGUAUUCAAGUCAUGUUUAAAAGCCCGGAAACCGGGAUGUGGGAAGGGCCAGCAGCAAUGAAAUUAAUGGGAAGAGGUUACAUGCGCUUACUUACAGAUAAAGGAAUUCGCUGGUUCCGGCCAAGUAGGUGAAACCUCACCUAAAGUCACACCUGCCAGCUCUGUCCAGAAGCAGAACGUCGGCGACAGCACCAACUCCAGACGCAGCUGAACCUGAUGCUCCAGCACCUGAGGGUUGAACAAUGGCUGAACUUUUUUUCCACAGCUAUUAACAGAUGUGGGCCAACUAGCUGGAUCUGGGGUUACAGUAACCAGUAACGACAGCCUACCACCAUUUCCAAUACGGGUCUUAAAUCAAAUUGAAUGAGCUUCUUCUGUUCAUGGCUAUUUUUGCAAACCAUGGAUCAGGGUCCAGUGUGUUAAGUGCAAACUGAAGUGAAGGCGAUAAGUCCGUCAGGAAAAAAAAUCUUUUUAUACCUCACAGGAAAAAGCAAAAA